rnacentral:rRNA from 1 species
UACGGACGAUGCGAGCGUUAUCCGGAUUUAUUGGGUUUAAAGGGUGCGUAGGCGGACUGUCAAGUCAGCGGUAAAAUUGAGAGGCUCAACCUCUUCCCGCCGUUGAAACUGGUGGUCUUGAGUGGAUGAGAAGUACGCGGAAUGCGUGGUGUAGCGGUGAAAUGCAUAGAUAUCACGCAGAACUCCGAUUGCGAAGGCAGCGUACCGGCAUCCAACUGACGCUGAGGCACGAAAGCGUGGGGAUCAAACAGG